UUGGUGGAAAGUUUUUCGGCUUGGGAUGGGCUCGCGGCCUAUCAGCUUGUUGGUGGGGUGAUGGCCUACCAAGGCGACGACGGGUAGCCGGCCUGAGAGGGCGACCGGCCACACUGGGACUGAGACACGGCCCAGACUCCUACGGGAGGCAGCAGUGGGGAAUAUUGCACAAUGGGCGGAAGCCUGAUGCAGCGACGCCGCGUGAGGGAUGACGGCCUUCGGGUUGUAAACCUCUAACAACAGGGACGAAGCGUAAGUGACGGUACCUGCAGAAGAAGCGCCGGCCAACUACGUGCCAGCAGCCGCGGUAGGACGUAGGGCGCGAGCGUUGUCCGGAUUUAUUGGGCGUAAAGAGCUCGUAGGCGGCUUGUCGCGUCGACCGUGAAAACCUGGGGCUCAACCCCAGGCCUGCGGUCGAUACGGGCAGGCUAGAGUUCGGUAGGGGAGACUGGAAUUCCUGGUGUAGCGGUGAAAUGCGCAGAUAUCAGGAGGAACACCGGUGGCGAAGGCGGGUCUCUGGGCCGAUACUGACGCUGAGGAGCUAAAGGGGGGGGAGCGAACAGGAUUAGAUACCCUGGUAGA
rnacentral:rRNA from 1 species